GCUCAAGCCUGUCAGUGAGUUUCAAACAAUCAACUAGGAAAGAAGAGAAGUAAAAACUGUCUUCUCUCUAAAUUCUUCAGUACUGCACAUUUAGCACAAAUAGAAUGCAGAGGCUAACGUGAAGUCUGGGUUUGAAAAGUAGAAGUAAGCUUAGUUACCCUGAGAGUUGUUUCAAAAAAACCGCUGCUCCCAGAAUCAAACUUUAAUUAACCAUCAAGGGCCACAAUGGCAACCAGUGGUCACCUCUCUUCAAGGUCCAAAGAAUGGUGGAGGGCGCUGUGAGCCGUAUUCACGAGCGAGAGCUGGAAGUCUCCUCAGGUGACACGCCUGCAAACUCAUGGCAAAGUCAGGGUCAAGAGCGCACCAAGGAAUGGCACCAGGAAAGGGGCGUGUCCUGUCUCUGUUUGCUUGUGAGUUUCGUCACUUGAGAAAAAUUAUCUGGAAAAACCAAAGUACUUCAGUGGCCUGAGGACAAGGUUACUUGAAAGAGAGUUUCUUCCUGGGGUUGGAAGGAAUGGGAAGAGGAUAACUGUGGAAUCCUUAUUCCUCAAGGCUGAAAUAUUAGCAAAGAGCAACCCAAAACACAGGCACACGCCCACUGAAAUGAAGAGCAACCCAAUCCUACAUUUGUCAUAAACAAGCUGUAUCUUAGAGGUUGAUAUUCCUCAGCCUCCUCAGCCUGCCCGUCUCUUUCACCCAGGAGUUUAAUUUUAGCUCUGUAUUAAUUAUACAUUACAAUUACACAUGGACUUGGGCAGGCGCACACACUGUAAUGAUUCUGCCGCUAUCACGGACUCGCUCCGGAGCUCAUUCGGGUCACCUCCGUCCCUAUGGGAUACGAUGUUGUUUACUGCCUACUGCCUCACACUCAUUUUCCCUGGAGAUGGUUGCCCGGAAAUAAGCUUCCUCCAAAAUGAAAGCUCUCUGCCAAGGCUUUUCAGGGGGAAGAGAUAUGCUCUCUGCAUCACAGGCCAUGCAAUGACAGAACGUGUACACAGCCACAAAACCAAAAUUCUCCAACCAAACGUCUUCGGCAAGAGUGGCUUCACGUGCCUGGAGGUCCAUACAGGUGGCCACGCCUCACCCGGCUGACCCAGUUCAGAAAUGCGGCUCUUGUGUGGCAAGGAAGUGGGCGUUGAAGGCUUUUCCUGUCGUUGCCGCAGUGCUGGUGAUUGCCAGACGGGCUGGGAAACAAAGGCUCAGCAGAAUUAUCUCUGCACUUCCCCCAAGCCCAGCUGCUUGCCCUUGACAUCUUGAAAGGAGCACUUCAAUGAGCUCUUAGCCUCUGAGAGUGAUGCCUGAAAUGCAAGACCAGAAGCAUCUAUUUAUUAAGCUCAGUCACUAAAUGAAUCUUGCCCCAUGGCCAGCUACGCAGUGGAGUUAAUGAGGAUGGAGCAGACGCUGAGCUAGGACAUAUUUAGCCAGGGGCUGCACCCCGAGGCCUGCCUCCCUGCAAAAGAAUUGAGGACAGCUCUCUCCUGACAUCAAAAGGGCUUGAAGGGGACAUGCAAGCAGAGAAUUCAGGCAACUUUCACUCCUCACACACUCCCUUUCUCUAUUACUGGAAGCCUGGCUGUGUGGUUCCUCCAACACAACGCUGGCCUGACAGGACUGCAGGCUUUUCUCAAGAGUCAGGGCUCUUCAUUGGCAAAGGGGUCGCAUAUCUACUGUGACCCUCCCACGUCUGAGCGCUAGGCCGUGUGCUACAGAUACAGCUUGAACAAAGCCAAAGUCUCUGCCAUGGACUCCUCUCCAGCAGUGGGAGUAGCCGGCAAGGACUCAAACAAAUACACCUGUGAUUUCCUGAUUCUGAUACUGCCUUGGAGGCAGCUGUGGUGUGGAAGAAUAACAAUCUCAGAGAGUGUGGUCAGGGGAAGCAUCUCUCAGGAGGCAUUGAGUCCCCUGAGCCCUGCCAAGCCCCGGGGUGGCGGCCCGAGCACGUCCUCCAAAGAACAUGGAGGAGGUGAGGUGUCCAGGGGGUUAAACACAUCUCUGCUUUGAUAAAUGCGCCUGCAUUUUAUCCCCCCAAUCACCUAGGGGGAAGGGUUUACUACCGGGGACGUGGCUGUGUGAUGGAUUCAGUUAUUUGGGCACUGAAGCUUUCAGGAGGCCACAAUACUGAGAGAGAGAUACGGGUCCAAAUUCCCAGCACUCCGAUGACUGUGCAACGUGAAGCAUGCUCUUUAACUUCUAUGAUCCUCGGUGUUCUUAUUGGGAAGAACGGGCUGACAUAGGGAUUAAACUACAGAGCAUGCCCUAGUUCUGUGGCAUGGUUCUUGGCACACAGUAGGUGUUCCAGGAGCGCUCGUUAGAGUCAACAAUUGUGCUUGCUCCAGAUAUGAAGGAAGAAGCCGGAGUCUAGAGGACCUAAGAAUAAACUGCUCCAUUCAUAAAGCUGGUCAGCAGGAGAACCGGUACUCAACCCUGGAUUGGCUCCCAGGCCAAACAUUUAACUCACUUCCCUCGCACAUCAUAGGCGUUUGGGGAGUUUUAACUCUAAGCCGAGUCGCACCUCUUUGGGUGGAAUCAGAAAUCUCACACUGCUCUCUCAUCUUCCUUUGAGGAGGUCACAAAGGAAAGGGAGUUGCAUUCCAUCCUGACCUUCUCUUUCUGGUUUUUCUCAGCUAAAACAGCACAAGGCUGGAAGCUCUUUGGCUUACUUCUGUUUAUUAAGGAAAUAGGCUGGAGUGGGUGUAGCUGGGGUGAGAUUCCUAUUGCUCUGUGCAGGGAAAGGUUUAUCAGACAAACACACCAUGACAGAUGAGGUCCGGUGAUAGAAAUGGCCCUUGAGCAGCCUACUGCUUCGCCGCUAUCGCCAAAGAAAGGCUGUCUCUGUAAGGAUGAUAAAAACUUGGCCUGAAAAAUCAACAAAGUAAAAAAUAGCUCAAGUUCAACGAGACUGUCCAUGAAAAACAUCCUACCAUCACUCUAUACUCUAUUGAGAAUUUACAAGGACUUAGGCAGUCGACUGCAUACAAACAAAAGGGGUAAGAAACCAAGAAUUAGCUGUUUCAAUAAUAAGAAUGACUAUGUUAUGUAUAUUCUAGGAAAGUAGUAAGAAUAUAAAAAGAAAGCCAUGUGGGAAUUUAAGGUUUUUCAUUCAUUUGGUGCACAAACUUUAUUAAGAGCAUAUUAUUAACUAUGAGAUGGUUGGAUGGCAUCACUGACUCAAUGGACAUGAGUUUGAGUAAACUCCAGGAGUUGGUGAUGGACAGGGAGGCCUGGCAUGCUGCAGUCCAUGGGGUUGCGAAGAGUCGGACAUGACUGAGUGACUG
ensembl:lncRNA